GUCUACGGCCAUACCACCCUGAACGCGCCCGAUCUCGUCUGAUCUCGGAAGCUAAGCAGGGUCGGGCCUGGUUAGUACUUGGAUGGGAGAUUGAUAGAUACUGGGGAUUGAACUCA
rnacentral:rRNA from 1 species